UGGGGAAUUUUGGACAAUGGGCGAAAGCCUGAUCCAGCCAUGCCGCGUGAGUGAAGAAGGCCUUCGGGUUGUAAAGCUCUUUUAGUCGGAAAGAAAGAGUUGCAAUGAAUAAUUGUGAUUUAUGACGGUACCGACAGAAAAAGCACCGGCUAACUACGUGCCAGCAGCCGCGGUAAUACGUAGGGUGCGAGCAUUGUCCGGAUUCAUUGGGCGUAAAGAGCUCGUAGGCGGCCUGCCACGUCGGAUGUGAAAACUCGGGGCUUAACCCCGAGCCUGCAUUCGAUACGGGCAGGCUAGAGUGUUGCAGGGGAGACUGGAACUCCUGGUGUAGCGGUGAAAUGCGCAGAUAUCAGGAAGAACACCGGUGGCGAAGGCGGGUCUCUGGGCAACUACUGACGCUGAGGAGCGAAAGCGUGGGGAGCAAACA
rnacentral:rRNA from 1 species